CGUGUAGCCUACAUUUUUGUUAGCAAUCCUAUUCCUAAUAUGGCCAAGAAACACAUCAGCACACCUGUGCUUUUGAGAUAUACAAUGAGUCCUGACAAUGAAUUUUCAUAGUACAAGUUGUACUUUCGUUUUUGGUUUUUUUACGAUACAUCACAUUCCUAUUAUCCUAUUAUCACAACUAUUAUUCUCAAUAGCUUUUUUCCACAGGCUACAUGUAGCAUACAGACAUUGAUACAAAAUAACAAAUAAACAAACGCGUCUGUCGACCUUUAAGUGUAUUGUUAGCGCAAUGUGAAUAUUGCCGCAGGUUUACAGCUUCAACGUACAACCCCAUUACCAAGUUUGGACAUUCAGCGUGUCUAAACAGCGUCAUUUUUGGAAACGUCAUAUCUUCUAACGUUGUAAACAAGUUAGGCAGGAACAGAAACCCAAAGUCGCUGGGUAUUCCCAGCGUCAUAAGACCGUCGCACAGGCUAUUUAAAGACUGAGCUCUUAACAUACCGGUACACACACAGUCGAUCAGACGCUCAGACUACGAAACUAUUAUUUUAAAAAUAACAGGUUACAGCAAAACACGCUGAAAAGUGCCAAACGCGAAUCAUGAAGCAGCCACCGAAAAUGUCCUCUCUUAAGAAGAGUGAAAGCCAGAAAUUGACAACCAAAGAACAAAAGGUGAUCGUGGAAUGCGCACAACACCUGCGUAAAAUUGGAGACGUCUUCAAUUUCAAGUACAAACUACUGGACAUGCUGGCAAAAAAAGAACAAAAGGGUUGUGCCAUAAAGUGAGAAGAAAACCGUCUUCUUUCCCACGGGAAAUCUACGAUCGCGGACUGUAUACCGUCAAGGAAGCGUGCGGAAUGGGGAUGAUAUUCAGCUGGCGCCGGACGAAGAGCCUAUUCGUUCGAAUUUGGAAAUGGCAGACGAAGGACUUCCCCGAGUUGGUCUACUUCAGUCCACUCCUGGAAAGGAAGUGUCAAUCUUCACUGUUCUGAACUGUAGUGGAACUACUGCAUCUUCUCAUGUAUGGCGUGAUAAAUGACAUGUCUGUUUCUGGCUAACAGGAGGAGGAAUUAGGUCAGGGAAUUCCCCGCUAGAGAGAAAUGGCUGAUGUACGGAUUAGCCCACUGUACUUGUGGUGGUGUAAUCUUAGCAACAGUGUAAGAAAUGCAUACGUUUUGUCAGAAAAUGAUUCUCCAGACAAAUGUAUGAAUUAAGGUAGUUGCUAUGUUCAUAUUUUAUCAUAUAAACAUUGCCUGUGGUGAUUGGGUGUGGUGAUUGGUGAAAUGUAUUUAGCCUUGCUACUCAGAACUUUAUAAAUUUUGCAUAAUGAAAUAAAAGGUUUCUAGAAAA